UCUUUGCUGAUAUAUCGGUUAGUACACGCGCCUGUCAUGGGUUACUGGGUGACUGACCUGACUUUCAUCGCGCGAAAGCUGGGUUCAAUUCCCAGGCCGAGAG